GACGAACGCUGGCGGCGUGCCUAAUACAUGCAAGUCGAGCGCAGGAAACUGACGGAACUCUUCGGAGGGAAGGCAGUGGAAUGAGCGGCGGACGGGUGAGUAACACGUAAGGAACCUGCCUCAAGGAUUGGGAUAACUCCGAGAAAUCGGAGCUAAUACCGGAUAGUUCAUCGGACCGCAUGGUCCGCUGAUGAAAGGCGCUCCGGCGUCACCUUGAGAUGGCCUUGCGGUGCAUUAGCUAGUUGGUGGGGUAACGGCCCACCAAGGCGACGCUGCAUAGCCGACCUGAGAGGGUGAUCGGCCACACUGGGACUGAGACACGGCCCAGACUCCUACGGGAGGCAGCAGUAGGGAAUCUUCCACAAUGGACGAAAGUCUGAUGGAGCAACGCCGCGUGAGUGAUGAAGGUUUUCGGAUCGUAAAACUCUGUUGUAAGGGAAGAACACGUACGAGAGGGAAUGCUCGUACCUUGACGGUACCUUACGAGAAAGCCACGGCUAGCUACGUGCCAGCCGCCGCAGUAA
rnacentral:rRNA from 1 species